GACGAACGCUGGCGGCAUGCCUAAUCCAUGCAAGUAGAACGCAGUUGCGAACGGGGGAGUAACGCGUAGGUAACUGCCUCAUAGCGGGGGAUCACUAUUGGGAACGAUAGCUAAUACCGCAUACUGUGAGAUGGACCUGCUUGUUAUUAGCUAGUUGGUGAGGUAAAGGCCCACCAAGGCGAAGAGACAUAGCCUACCUGAGAGGGGGUUCGGCCACCCUGGGACUGAGACACGGCCCAGGCCCCGUACGGAGGCAGCAGUAGGGAAUCUUCGGCAAUGGGCGGAAGUCUGAACGAGCAACGCCGGGUGAGUUAAGGAGGUGUUCGGGUCGGAAAGCUUUGGUGUUAGAGGAGCGGUAACUAACCAGAAAGGGACGGCUAACUACGUGCCAGCCGCCGCGGUAAGUC
rnacentral:rRNA from 1 species